rnacentral:rRNA from 1 species
GAUGAACGCUAGCUACAGGCUUAACACAUGCAAGUCGAGGGGUAACGAGAGGGAAGCUUGCUUUCCUUGUCGACGACCGGCGGAUGGGUGAGUAACGCGUAUCCAACCUGCCCUUCAGUAAGGGAUAGCCUUUCGAAAGAAAGAAUAAUACCUUAUGUGAUCGUCUGAUGACAUCAGACGACGAUCAAAGAUUUAUCGCUGAAGGAUGGGGAUGCGUCCCAUUAGGCAGUAGGCGGGGUAACGGCCCACCUAACCUACGAUGGGUAGGGGUUCUGAGAGGAAGGUCCCCCACAUUGGAACUGAGACACGGUCCAAACUCCUACGGGAGGCAGCAGUGAGGAAUAUUGGUCAAUGGCCGUAAGGCUGAACCAGCCAAGUAGCGUGCAGGAUGACGGCCCUAUGGGUUGUAAACUGCUUUUGUAAGGGAAUAAAAAAGCUUACGUGUAGGCUAUUGUAUGUACUUUACGAAUAAGGAUCGGCUAACUCCGUGCCAGCCGCCGCCGUAACAC